GCGUUAUCCGGAUUUAUUGGGUUUAAAGGGAGCGCAGGCGGACUCUUAAGUCAGUUGUGAAAUACGGCGGCUCAACCGUCGGACUGCAGUUGAUACUGGGAGUCUUGAGUGCACACAGGGAUGCUGGAAUUCAUGGUGUAGCGGUGAAAUGCUCAGAUAUCAUGAAGAACUCCGAUCGCGAAGGCAGGUAUCCGGGGUGCAACUGACGCUGAGGCUCGAAAGUGCG
rnacentral:rRNA from 1 species